rnacentral:rRNA from 1 species
UGGGGAAUCUUGCACAAUGGGGGCAACCCUGAUGCAGCGACGCCGCGUGAGCGAUGAAGCCCUUCGGGGCGUAAAGCUCUUUCGACCGGAACGAUAAUGACGGUACCGGGAGAAGAAGCUGCGGCUAACUACGUGCCAGCAGCCGCGGUAAUACGUAGGCGGCAAGCGUUGUUCGGAGUUACUGGGCGUAGAGAGUGCGUAGGCGGUUUUCUAAGUUCGGUGUGAAAUCUCCCGGCUUAACUGGGAGGGUGCGCCGAAGACUGGGAAGCUGGAGUGUGGGAAAGGCAGGCGGAAUUCCUGGUGUAGCGGUGAAAUGCGUAGAUAUCAGGAGGAACACCGGCGGUGUAGACGGCUUGCUAGACCAUAACUGACGCUGAGGCACGAAAGCGUGGGUAGCAAACA